GGUGGUACUGGUGUCCUGGCACUAUCUAUACUGGUUGUACUGGAACCAUCAGCACCGGCUGUACUGGUUACACUGGUGUCCUUGUACUGGGUACACUGGUUCCAACCGUACUGGGAUCACUGGUGUCUCUGUACUGGUGUAACCAGUUCUGUCUGUACUGGUGUUAUUGGUGUCCCUGUACUGGUGUUACUGGUUCUGUCUGUACUGGUGUGAUCUCGUCUGUCUGUACCGGUGUUACUGGUGUCCCUGUACUGGUAUUACUGGUGUUCCUGUACUGCUGUUCCUGGUCCUGUACUGGUGCUGCUGGUCCUGUGUGCACUGGUGUUACUGGUCCUGUACUGGUGACGAAGGGGAGGGGCCUGUCUCGCUGACGUCACGGGGAUCCCCGGCGCUGAUUGGCCGAUCGCGCUGUCAGUCAGGCGGGUGACGCGGUCGGACCCGGGAGCGGCGGCGGAGCCCGAGUGCCGCCAUGUCCUGAGGAUGUUCAGCCUGGACGAGACCCCCGAGGACCCCGGAUCCAACCCCCCCUCCCCCUGGGGGGGCUCCCCCACCCCCAGCCAGCCCAGCACCCCCU